UACGUAGGGGGCGAGCGUUGUCCGGAAUUACUGGGCGUAAAGGGUGCGUAGGCGGUUUAACAAGUCGGAUGUGGAAUACCCGGGCUUAACCCGGGGGUGUCAUUCGAAACUGUUGAACUUGAGUGCAGAAGAGGAAAGUGGAAUUCCCAGUGUAGCGGUGAAAUGCGUAGAUAUUGGGAGGAACACCAGUGGCGAAGGCGACUUUCUGGGCUGUAACUGACGCUGAGGCACGAAAGCGUGGGGAGCAAACAGG
rnacentral:rRNA from 1 species